CCUACGGGUGGCAGCAGUGGGGAAUAUUGGACAAUGGGGGGAACCCUGAUCCAGCGACGCCGCGUGAGUGAAGAAGUAUUUCGGUAUGUAAAGCUCUAUCAGCAGGGAAGAAAGAAAUGACGGUACCUGACUAAGAAGCCCCGGCUAACCACGGGCCAGCAGCCGCGGUAGUACGUAGGGGGCAAUCGUUAGCCGGAUUUACUGGGUGUAAAGGGAGCGUAGACGGCGAUGCAAGUCUGAAGUGAAAGGCGGGGGCCCAACCUCCGGACUGCUUUGGAAACUGUAUGGCUGGAGUGCAGGAGAGGUAAGUGGAAUUCAUAGUGUAGCGGUGAAAUGCGUAGAGAUCAGGCGGAACACCAGUGGCGAAGGCGGCUUACUGAACUGUAACUGACGUUGAGGCUCGAAAGCGUGGGGAGCAAACAGGAUUAGAUACCCCGGUAGUC
rnacentral:rRNA from 1 species